UAAAUAUAUAUAUAAAUAUAUUUAAAUAAAAAAUAUAAUUUAUUUUAAUUGGGUGUUUGUUGUGGGAGGAGAGAAAGAAGGUCAAAGCAUGGGGUGACAUUCAUUCUAUAAAGCAGAGUAAAAAAUAGCAAACGGGUGGCCACACAGUCACGACUCGUCAUUGCGGGCAUCCAAAGCAAAGUAUAGAAGGAAGCGUGAACAAGACAGUGAUAAGCAUCCACCCAUAACAAACAUUUCUUCUUUUGUAUGCUUAUCACGCGGUUUCAUUCAUGCCGUCGGCUAUUCGCCUGCAAUUCAGACUUUCCCUUGGAAGGAGUACUUCUCUUGUGAAUCUGAAGUCCUCCUCUUUAUUUUACUGCCCCAGGGAACACACUCAUCAGUCAUUGUGGAGCGCUUAAUUCGUAUCAGGAGGAGGUGGGCAAGGAGUUUCAUCUCUUUCAGGCAAUCUGAAGAGACCAAGCCAAAGGAGGAGAAGAAGAAGAAGAAGAAGAAGAUGGAGUGGUUGAGAAAGAUGUUGUUUCCCAUGAGGAGAGUUCUGCUGGGAAUUGCAGGGAAAGUCAGAGCACGCAGGCGUGGGCGUGGGCUCUUGAAACUAUACAAUGAUGUGCAGUCAUGUGGAUAUCAAGACGUGCAAGUAAUGUGGGAAAUGCUACAAAAGUCUGAGACUACUUCUUCUCCCAAGAGACAGCGAUCUACAUGGAAAAUUUGCAUAUGGGCAGCUCAUCCUAGGUGAAGGGUAGAUUUGCAUGGAUCUGGUGUUCCACAAAGCCCGAGUCAGGGCUGAGCUUCUGUAAACCUUUUUUAAGACCCCAUCAUCAUGGGUAUAAUUAGUAGAGAUCAGUAUACUAGCAAUUUAGUCUGCCUCACUCCUUAAGGUGACGCCACACUCUGAGGGUGUUUCCAUGUUUGUAGAGUGAGAUAUGAAGUCUAUUUUUCAUUUUUACCUGGCUUUUUGGUUGUUUGUCCAUAAUUACCUUUCAGUCGAUAUGUUAUAUUUAUAUACAAAAAGAUCAAAAAAAUAUUGCUUCGGUGAGGGAGCAUCUUUCCUCCGUUGGAAUAGAUAUAGGGAAAUAUAGUAUUUGGUGAGAGCUGUUAUUGGUCGAAGAUGAUUUGAGGCAUACUUUGCCCAACUCUUCGAGUUGUACAUACUACUUACUACAUACUAGUAGUCAAGUGUAUGUGUUGAAUGCUAUUUCUUUCAAUAAAUUUCAUUAUUACACAACUUGUA